UACGAAGGGGGCUAGCGUUGCUCGGAAUUACUGGGCGUAAAGCGCACGUAGGCGGCUUUCUAAGUCGGGGGUGAAAUCCUGGAGCUCAACUCCAGAACUGCCUUCGAUACUGGAAAGCUCGAGUCCGGGAGAGGUGAGUGGAACUGCGAGUGUAGAGGUGAAAUUCGUAGAUAUUCGCAAGAACACCAGUGGCGAAGGCGGCUCACUGGCCCGGUACUGACCACUGAGAAUGCGGAAAGCAGUGGGGGAGUCGAAACAAACGAU
rnacentral:rRNA from 1 species